rnacentral:tRNA from 1 species
GGACAGAUUCCCGAGUGGUUAGAGGGAGCAGACUGUAAAUCUGCCGCGUUUUCGCUACGUUGGUUCGAAUCCAACCCUGUCCACCA